AUGGCGGAGGGGAAACACCCGUUCCCAUCCCGAACACGGAAGUUAAGCCCUCCAGCGCCGAUGGUAGUUGGGGCCAGCGCCCCUGCAAGAGUAGGUC
rnacentral:rRNA from 1 species